GUUGAUUGGCGUCUCUGGAAAAUUGUCCGUAGUGUGUGUGUGUGUGUGUGUGUGUGAAUGAGUGAGUGAGUGAGUGAGUGAGUAAAAGAAAGAAAGAAAAAAGUCAUAAGGGUGUAGUACACGAUUCUAUUAUGACUUUUCCGACCGCUCGUAUUACAUCGUAACACUUUA